rnacentral:rRNA from 1 species
UACAGAGGGGGCAAGCGUUAUUCGGAAUUAUUGGGCGUAAAGGGCGCGUAGGCGGCUUUGCAAGUGACGGGUGAAAUCCCUCGGCUUAACCGAGGAACUGCCUGUCAGACUGCAUGGCUUGAGACCGGGAGAGGUGAGUGGAAUUCCCAGUGUAGCGGUGAAAUGCGUAGAUAUUGGGAGGAACACCAGUGGCGAAGGCGGCUCACUGGACCGGUACUGACGCUGAGGUGCGAAAGCGUGGGGAGCAAACAGG